rnacentral:rRNA from 1 species
UACGGGGGGGGCAAGCGUUGUUCGGAUUUACUGGGCGUAAAGGGCGCGUAGGCGGCCUCUGCAAGUCGACUGUGAAAUCUCCGGGCUUAACCCGGAAAGGUCAGCCGAUACUGCAGGGCUAGAGUGCAGAAGGGGCAACUGGAAUUCUCGGUGUAGCGGUGAAAUGCGUAGAUAUCGAGAGGAACACCUGCGGCGAAGGCGGGUUGCUGGGCUGACACUGACGCUGACAGCGCGAAAGCUAGGGGAGCGAACGGG